UCCGUAGGUGAACCUGCGGAAGGAUCAUUACCGAGUGAGGGCCCUCUGGGUCCAACCUCCCACCCGUGUUUAUUUUACCUUGUUGCUUCGGCGGGCCCGCCUUAACUGGCCGCCGGGGGGCUUACGCCCCCGGGCCCGCGCCCGCCGAAGACACCCUCGAACUCUGUCUGAAGAUUGUAGUCUGAGUGAAAAUAUAAAUUAUUUAAAACUUUCAACAACGGAUCUCUUGGUUCCGGCAUCGAUGAAGAACGCAGCGAAAUGCGAUACGUAAUGUGGAUUGCAAAUUCAGUGAAUCAUCGAGUCUUUGAACGCACAUUGCGCCCCCUGGUAUUCCGGGGGGCAUGCCUGUCCGAGCGUCAUUGCUGCCCUCAAGCACGGCUUGUGUGUUGGGCCCCGUCCUCCGAUCCCGGGGGACGGGCCCGAAAGGCAGCGGCGGCACCGCGUCCGGUCCUCGAGCGUAUGGGGCUUUGUCACCCGCUCUGUAGGCCCGGCCGGCGCUUGCCGAUCAACCCAAAUUUUUAUCCAGGUUGACCUCGGAUCAGGUAGGGAUACCCGCUGAACUUAAGCAUAUCAAUAAGCGGAGGAA
rnacentral:rRNA from 1 species